rnacentral:rRNA from 1 species
GAAAAAUUAGCGGAUGACUUGUGGCUAGGGGUGAAAGGCCAAUCAAACCUGGAGAUAGCUGGUUCUCCCCGAAAGCUAUUUAGGUAGCGCCUCGGACGAAUACUACUGGGGGUAGAGCACUGUUAAGGCUAGGGGGUCAUCCCGACUUACCAACCCUUUGCAAACUCCGAAUACCAGUAAGUACUAUCCGGGAGACACACGGCGGGUGCUAACGUCCGUCGUGGAGAGGGAAACAACCCAGACCGUCAGCUAAGGUCCCAAAUUACUACUAAGUGGGAAACGAUGUGGGAAGGCUCAGACAGCCAGGAUGUUGGCUUAGAAGCAGCCAUCAUU